rnacentral:misc_RNA from 1 species
UACUUUCUUGUUGGAGCC